rnacentral:rRNA from 1 species
GCCCAGCUUGCUGGGUGGAUCAGUGGCGAACGGGUGAGUAACACGUGAGCAACCUGCCCCUGACUCUGGGAUAAGCGCUGGAAACGGCGUCUAAUACUGGAUACGAACCGCGACCGCAUGGUCAGUGGUUGGAAAGAAUUUCGGUUGGGGAUGGGCUCGCGGCCUAUCAGCUUGUUGGUGAGGUAAUGGCUCACCAAGGCGUCGACGGGUAGCCGGCCUGAGAGGGUGACCGGCCACACUGGGACUGAGACACGGCCCAGACUCCUACGGGAGGCAGCAGUGGGGAAUAUUGCACAAUGGGCGCAAGCCUGAUGCAGCAACGCCGCGUGAGGGAUGACGGCCUUCGGGUUGUAAACCUCUUUUAGCAGGGAAGAAGCGAAAGUGACGGUACCUGCAGAAAAAGCGCCGGCUAACUACGUGCCAGCAGCCGCGGUAAUACGUAGGGCGCAAGCGUUAUCCGGAAUUAUUGGGCGUAAAGAGCUCGUAGGCGGUUUGUCGCGUCUGCUGUGAAAUCCCGAGGCUCAACCUCGGGCCUGCAGUGGGUACGGGCAGACUAGAGUGCGGUAGGGGAGAUUGGAAUUCCUGGUGUAGCGGUGGAAUGCGCAGAUAUCAGGAGGAACACCGAUGGCGAAGGCAGAUCUCUGGGCCGUAACUGACGCUGAGGAGCGAAAGGGUGGGGAGCAAACAGGCUUAGAUACCCUGGUAGUCCACCCCGUAAACGUUGGGAACUAGUUGUGGGCGUUAUG